rnacentral:rRNA from 1 species
AGUGAUAAUGGCGAAGAGGUCACACCCGUUCCCAUACCGAACACGGAAGUUAAGCUCUUUAGCGCCGAUGGUAGUUGGGACUUUGUCCCUGUGAGAGUAGGACAUCGCUAGGC